CUUGGUGUGAAUUGCAGAAUCCCGUGAACCAUCGAGUUUUUGAACGCAAGUUGCGCCCGAAGCCAUCUGGCCAGGGCACGUCUGCCUGGGCGUCACGC
rnacentral:rRNA from 1 species